CGCGUAGAAGAACAGCUUUGCGCCCGAGCGGACCUUUGGAGUUGAAUCCAGGAACUGAGGAAACGGGUUAACGAAACGGCCUGCCAUGGAUGGUCCUCAAAGAAAAAGCCGCAAGCCGCCCAAAAUGGACGGCCUCAAAAAUUCUGUUUGUUGGUUGGUUAGUCUUUGUCUGGCUCGUUAUGUCGUAUCCCUACGGGCUAAUUCUCUUCGCCGUCAGCUGCUGCG
rnacentral:misc_RNA from 1 species